GACGAACGCUGGCGGCGUGCUUAACACAUGCAAGUCGAACGAAAAGGCCCUGCUUUUGUUGGGUGCUCGAGUGGCGAACGGGUGAGUAACACAUGAGUAACCUGCCCUUGACUGUGGGAUAACUUCAGGGAACUGGGGCUAAUACCCGAUAUGAGCUCCUGCUGCAUGGUGGGGAUUGGAAAGUUUCGGCGGUUGGGGAUGGACUCGCUGCUUAUCAGCUGGUUGGUGGGGUAGUGGCUUACCAAGGCUUUGACGGGUAGCCGGCCUGAGAGGGUGAACGGCGUCAUUGGGACUGAGAGACGGCCCAGAAGCGUACGGGCGGCAGAAGUGGGGAAUAUUGCACAAUGGGCGGAAGUCUGAUGUAGCAACGCCGCGUGCGGGAUAACGGCCUUCGGGGUGUAAACCGAUUUCGAAUGUGAUGAAGAGGGAGUGACGGUAAUGGGUAAAGAAGCACCGGCUAACUACGUG
rnacentral:rRNA from 1 species